UACGUAGGGACCAAGCGUUGUCCGGAAUUAUUGGGCGUAAAGAGCGCGCAGGCGGUCGUGCAAGUCGCGUGUGAAAGCCCCCCGGCUCAACUGGGGAGGGUCACGCGAUACUGUUCGACUCGAAGGCAGGAGAGGGAAGCGGAAUUCCCGGUGUAGUGGUGAAAUGCGUAGAUAUCGGGAGGAACACCAGUGGCGAAGGCGGCUUCCUGGCCUGUUCUUGACGCUGAGGCGGCGAAAGCUAGGG
rnacentral:rRNA from 1 species